GACGAGCGCUGGCGGCGUGCUUAACACAUGCAAGUCGAACGGCAAGGCCCUUCGGGGUACACGAGUGGCGAACGGGUGAGUAACACGUGGGUGAUCUGCCCUGCAUUUCGGGAUAAGCCUGGGAAACUGGGUCUAAUACCGGAUAGGACUCCUGGCUUCAUGGUUGGGGGUGGAAAGCUUUUGCGGUGUGGGAUGGGCCCGCGGCCUAUCACCUUGUUGGUGGGGUAGUGGCCUACCAAGGCGACGACGGGUAGCCGGCCUGAGAGGGUGACCGGCCACACAGGGACUGAAAUACGGCUCAGACGCCUACGUGAGGCAGCAGUGGGGAAUAUUGCACAAUGGGCGCAAGCCUGAUGCAGCGACGCCGCGUGAGGGAUGACGGCCUUCGGGUUGUAAACCUCUUUCAGUAGGGACGAAGCGCAAGUGACGGUACCUACAGAAGAAGGACCGGCCAACUACGUGCCAGCAGCCGCAGUAA
rnacentral:rRNA from 1 species